rnacentral:rRNA from 1 species
UACAGAGGUCCCCAAGCGUUGUUCGGAUUCACUGGGCGUAAAGGGUGCGUAGGUGGCGGGGUAAGUUCGGUGUGAAAUCUUCGAGCUCAACUCGAAAAUGGCAUUGAAAACUACCUCGCUCGAGGGUCGGAGGGGAGACUGGAAUUCUCGGUGUAGCAGUGAAAUGCGUAGAUAUCGAGAGGAACACCAGUGGCGAAGGCGAGUCUCUGGACGACUCCUGACACUGAGGCACGAAAGCUAGGGGAGCAAACAGGAUUAGAAACCCCUGUAGU